rnacentral:rRNA from 1 species
CGCCUUGCCAGCCCGCUACAGAAACUCAAAGGAAGUUGACGGGGGCCCGGCACAAGCGGUGGAGUAUGUGGUUUAAUUCGAUGCAACGCGAAGAACCUUACCUGGUCUUGACAUCCCGGAGACCCUUAGGAAACUAGGGGGUGCUUCCAUCUGGAAGAAUCUGGAGACAGGUGCUGCAUGGCUGUCGUCAGCUCGUGUCGUGAGAUGUUGGGUUAAGUCCCGCAACGAGCGCAACCCUUGCCUUUAGUUGCCAGCAGUUCGGCUGGGCACUCUAAAGGGACUGCCGGUGUUAAACCGGAGGAAGGUGGGGAUGACGUCAAGUCCUCAUGGCCUUUAUGACCAGGGCUACACACGUACUACAAUGGCCGAUACAAAGGGCAGCGACACUGCGAGGUGAAGCCAAUCCCGUAAAAUCGGUCUCAGUCCGGAUUGGAGUCUGCAACUCGACUCCAUGAAGUUGGAAUCGCUAGUAAUCGUGGAUCAGCAUGCCACGGUGAAUACGUUCCCGGGCCUU